CCUACGGGGGGCAGCAGUGGGGAAUAUUGGACAAUGGGCGAAAGCCUGAUCCAGCCAUGCCGCGUGUGUGAAGAAGGCCUUCGGGUUGUAAAGCACUUUCAGUGGGGAAGAAAGCCUUGGGGCUAAUACCCUCGAGGAAGGACAUCACCCACGGAAUAAGCACCGGCUAACUCCGUGCCAGCAGCCGCGGUAAUACGGAGGGUGCGAGCGUUAAUCGGAAUUACUGGGCGUAAAGCGCGCGUAGGCGGUCUGAUAAGCCGGUUGUGAAAGCCCCGGGCUCAACCUGGGAACGGCAUCCGGAACUGUCAGGCUAGAGUGCAGGAGAGGAAGGUAGAAUUCCCGGUGUAGCGGUGAAAUGCGUAGAGAUCGGGAGGAAUAACAGUGGCGAAGGCGGCCUUCUGGACUGACACUGACGCUGAGGUGCGAAAGCGUGGGUAGCAAACAGGAUUAGAUACCCGGGUAGUC
rnacentral:rRNA from 1 species